rnacentral:rRNA from 1 species
UACAGAGGUCUCAAGCGUUGUUCGGAUUCAUUGGGCGUAAAGGGUGCGUAGGUGGCGGGGCAAGUCUGGUGUGAAAUCUCGGGGCUCAACCCCGAAACUGCACUGGAUACUGCCUUGCUCGAGUACUGGAGAGGAGAUUGGAAUUUACGGUGUAGCAGUGAAAUGCGUAGAUAUCGUAAGGAAGACCAGUGGCGAAGGCGAAUCUCUGGGCAGUUACUGACACUGAGGCACGAAGGCCAGGGGAGCAAACGGG